AUCCAAAGGCUCAGCUCUUCCCACCAUCAUUUGGUACCUGGUGGUCACUGCCUUCUGUGGGAUGGUCUCCAGUAUCUGACAGUUGGAGAGGUGAGCCUGGGGGAGGAAGGAUGGCCCGUCAUUUCUUAAAAGGCAUUUUCAGUUUUGUGGCAGGAUGAGGGUGGGACGAUGGAGGCCAGGAGGCAAGAGCAGUUAGGGGGCCCUUGCAGUAGAUGAGGUCUUUGAAGGUCUGAAACUGAGCGUGGAGGGGAAGGAACCAAGACAGGUGGAGGGAGACGAUGCCCUGGGACUUGGUGGGAACUGGGGCGGAGAGGAAGCAGAGGGGGCCUGACUUGUGCGCAUGGAGGUGGGCACUGUUGCGGGAAGUGGAGAGGGAAGUCGGGGAUGUAUAUGUGUGUGCACGUGUGUGCACACUUGUGUAAGGAUGUCUUUUCUAUUUUAGACAAAAUAGAAAAGUAAAUGGGAUGUGGGAGAGAAUUAUACAAUAAUGUCCCAAAUGUGUGAUUUGAGUUUUAUGAUUUGGGAGAUUAAAAUAAAUUCAGACUUCUUGAUAUUAUUAUUUUUUAAUUUUUUUGCUUUUUAGGGCCACCCUCUUGGCAUAUGGAGGUUCCCAGGCUAGGGGUCAAAUCAGAGCUGUAGCCACUGGCCUACACCACAGCCACGGCAGUGCAGGAUCUGAGCCUUGUCUGCAAUCUAUACCACAGCUCACAGCAAUGCCAGAUCCUUAACCUACAGAGAGAGGCCAGGGAUUGAACCCACGUCCUCAUGGAUGCUAGUCAGGUUUGUUAACCACUGAGCUGUGAUAGAAACUACCAAUAUGUUUUCUUAACGUUCUUUUUAAAAAACUCUCUAAUCAUUGACCUGAACCUUCAGUGUAUAUGAACCCGGUAAAUAUUUGUGAAAUCAAAUGAAUAAAUGCAAUUAGCACCCUUUAUUUGACAGCGAAGUCAUAAACUAGAUUAAAGAUAUAGAAUUAACAUUAAUUUCAUUAAGGAAUAAGCAAGUGAAGAGUCUUCUGAAAAUACCUGGCUAAUUCUGGUUGACUUAACAUGUAUGCAAAUUAAGCUAUAAAUAACUACCAACACAGUGCUGGGAAAGUGCGUACUUGCCAAGGCAAGUCUUAGAUGGUGGGAAAUGGAAGCCUCUGCUGGUCAUUUUGGUUUAUAAGUGCCACGCUGAGCAGACUGCUUGGGUGGCAAAAUGGACCACGUGAGGAUGGGUUCAGUACUCUAAACAGGUGUGGCAAUGAUGCUAAGCUUAAGAGAGUCACCUAAACCACUGAGCUGUGUUGCGAUUAGUCCUGGAAAAUGUGAUUUUAACAAAGUCUGCAGAUCAGCAUGAAGGGAACCAAGGGGUUAGGGUGUCAGAAUCCCUAGAGAGAUUAUAUAAAAAUUAUAUAAACUUAAAAAAUCCCAAUGGCGGAGGGGACCUUUCCCUCAAUUUCUGUGAACAUAAAACUUCUCAGAAAAAUUGUUACUUUCCUUAAAAUGUUAUUGUGAAUAUAUGAAUGGUAUAACUCUGGGGAGUCAGAUAUAGUAUUGCUGUGAUGCUAUAUAAUAAUCUAUAUAAUAAUAUGGUAGUAUUGCCUCCUGUGGUAGCAUGAACAGGAAAAUCAUGUUGAGAAUUAGUGUCCUGUGUCAUAGAAAGUUGGGGCAGAAAAGAACCUAAAAUCUCCCAGUUUAGUUUCCCUGAAUGGGUCUUAGAGGAAACAGUUUUCCAGAGCUGUUAGGACUUUCCUUUAGAAUAUAUGUGGAGUUUUCUGAGGUCAGUAAAUUUUGGAAAUACAGCUCUUUAUAACUACUUUGUAGUGAUAAACACUAUUCUUUGUGUUUUGUUUGUUUUUGGCACAUUUAUCCACUAAUUCCAAGGAACACCAAUUUGGGAAAAAGUAAUCUAAGUCAAAAACAUCUCCAAGCAUGAGUUGUCACUCACCAGUGGGUUGUGAAAUCAGUGUAGGGCUUGCAGUCAUUUUUUUUUUUUUUAAUGAAAAAUAAUAGGAUGGAAUAGGAGAAUUGCCCAUAGGAGAAUAAAUGUUAUUUUGUGAAACUUUUGUUCCAGCUAUGUAUGUGGGUUUGUGUAAACUCAGUCAUAAUGAAAAAUCUAUUUCUUACUAUAGGCGAGGGCCACGUAUAUUUUGGAGAUCGCUGAUCUAAUUCAGUCCCUCCGUUGUGUAAGUGAAAAACCCACUGAGGCCCAUGUGGGUUUCACGUGGAGAGUGGGUGGCAGAUAGACUCUGAAUCUACUCUUCAUCCUCCUUCACCUGCACCAGUGCUCCAGCAGAGCCAUAAGUCAUCUGGUUUAAAAAGCAGCUCUGGAGUUCCCGUCGUGGCGCAGCAGAAACGAAUCCAACUAGGAACCAUGAGGCUGCGGGUUCGAUCCCUGGCCUUGCUCAGCAGAUUAAGGAUCCGGCGUUGCCGUGAGCUGUGGUAUAGGUGGCAGAAAAAGCAUGUGUGGCUGUGGCUGUGGUGUAGGCUGGCAGCUGUAGCUCUGAUUAGACCCCUAGCCUGGGAACCUCCAUACAUAGAAGGUGCGGCCCCAAAAGGACAAAAUAAAAAAAAAUAAAAA
rnacentral:lncRNA from 1 species